CAUGUUCGAUGAGAAAAGUGUAGGGGAAGGUUGGCGGGCUGGCUGGUGUGUAAGUAGCACAUAGUUUAUCCUCAGUCCUGUUGGUGUUAUUUACUUCUCCUGGCAGGAGAAAGUGCAGGUUCAGCGUGAGAUCAUUAUGUCAGAGUUCGAGAAGAUCCGCCAGUUCCUGACUGAGGAGGAAAGCUGCUGCUAAAGAAGCUGGCGACGGAAGAGAAGGACUUCGUGCAGAGAGUACGGACCAACCUAGAUGACCUCUCGGAGCAGAGCUCUGCCCUGGGCAAACUCAUUGUAGAGCUGGAGGAGAAGUGCUGGAAAUCAUCUGUGGAGCUGCUGGAGGGUGUGAAAUGUUCACUGAGCAGUGCUGAAACUAUCGAACUGCAGGAGCUAGAAGCCACACCCAUUGAAGUGAAGAAUAGAUACAAAUUCCCUGAGCAUUGCCUGGAUAUGAAGAAAAUGCUACAGAGAUUCAAGAGUGAGUAACACCACACGGAAUGGAAUUUGCUGGGGAUCCCAGUGAGAACAGAAGACUAUACACCCCGUGUGUGUUUAGGCAGGGGGUGCGGGGAGUAAUUUGAUACCUGGAUGCAUACACAGGGGAAUCUCCACUAGGAGUAGAGAGGUUAGUCACCUCUGUGUUUAUCACUGGUGCAACUGCUGCUGAAAUCCUGUGUCCACAAUUCCAGAAGGAUGUUGAAAAAUUGC
rnacentral:lncRNA from 1 species